rnacentral:lncRNA from 1 species
AGCUGAUGAGUUGAUCACUCACACAGCAGUCCAAGCUUCCUGAAAGUGGGAAAUGGGGGAGAGAAGCUGAAAAAUCCAGGGGCUUGAGUAAUCCCCAAGAAACAGCAGAUACACCACCUGUUUGUUUGCACCCUACUUUGAGAGCCAUUCAUUGAUUUUUGCUGGACAGUCAUUCACAAGGAAGGAAGGCAGGUAGAAGAAAAUGAACCAACAUGUUUCCUCAGACGCACAGCUACAAGCUUCUUAAACUGAUCUUCACUUCAGCACAAGCCGCAGAAGCUUCACACUCAGCAGAGAAUUCCCAAUGAGGCCUUGGGAACACUCAGCACCUGCCUUCAACAAAUUAAUCCCUCAGGAGAUAAGAAUCCAACAUCUUAGAAGGAAUGAAAACCUUUUACUCCAUCAACUCUCUCCCACAAGGUACAUCUUGCUAUCACAUCCCUACAUCCAGAGCUGCAGAGGAGCUUUCUCAAACCCUAAAACUCUGCAGAGAACACCUGAAAUUUUGCUUGACUCUAACCUCAAGGUCCCCAUCCUUCGGAUGUUGGAGCAAUCCCACCUCCUUGCUCAUCACGCAGUGUAAGAGGAGCUGAACCUGGUCUGUGGUGUCU